rnacentral:rRNA from 1 species
CCCUUAGAUGUUCUGGGCCGCACACGCGCUACACUGAAGGAGGCAGCGUGUACUCCUGGAUCGAAAGAUUUGGGUAACCCGCGAAUCUCCUUCGUGCUAGGGAUUGAGGUUUGCAAUUAUCCUUCAUGAACGAGGAAUUCCCAGUAAGUGCAAGUCAUAAGCUUGCGCUGACUACGUCCCUACCCUUUGUACACACCGCCCGUCGCUACUACCGAUUGAAUGAUUUAGUGAGGACUUCGGACUGGGACCGAUGCGGCUUUCGGGCUGCGUCGGUAUUCUGGAAAGAUGUCCAAACUGUAUCAUUUAGAGGAAGUAAAAGUCGUANCA